CGGCGUGCUUAACACAUGCAAGUCGAACGAGAAGAGAUGAGAAGCUUGCUUCUUAUCAAUUCGAGUGGCAAACGGGUGAGUAACGCGUAAGCAACCUGCCCUUCAGAUGGGGACAACAGCUGGAAACGGCUGCUAAUACCGAAUACGUUCUCUUUGUCGCAUGGCAGAGGGAAGAAAGGGAGGCUCUUCGGAGCUUUCGCUGAAGGAGGGGCUUGCGUCUGAUUAGCUAGUUGGAGGGGUAACGGCCCACCAAGGCGACGAUCAGUAGCCGGUCUGAGAGGAUGAACGGCCACAUUGGGACUGAGACACGGCCCAGACUCCUACGGGAGGCAGCAGUGGGGAAUCUUCCGCAAUGGGCGAAAGCCUGACGGAGCAACGCCGCGUGAGUGAUGACGGCCUUCGGGUUGUAAAGCUCUGUGAUCGGGGACGAACGGUCAGCAGACGAAUACUCUGCUGAAGUGACGGUACCCGAAUAGCAAGCCACGGCUAACUACGUG
rnacentral:rRNA from 1 species